UGGAGGAAGGACACGGGGAUGGGGGGGGAGGUUGGGAUGUUUAUGGGAUCCUGGCAUGACCCCUGACAUCUCCUCUUGUCCCCUCCCAGC
rnacentral:pre_miRNA from 1 species